UCUUGUGAGCUUAUAAGUGAUCUUGUUCCAUUUUGUGAAGGGGUGAAGAAGGAGAAGAAGAAGGAAGCAAGGAAACGAGUUCUAGUGCCAAGAUCCAAGAUCAAGUGUGAACUUAUUGAGGUAAUUUCGGAGUUCUCUUCUGGUUUCAUGCUUAAACUUCCAUUAGAGCUCUUUUAAGGGCUAUUUGAUGCUUGUUCCAAGCUUUAUGCNCUCUUUUAAGGGUUAUUUGAUGCUUGUUCCAAGCUUUAUGCUUGUUUGAUUGUGUUAUUGAGCCGAAAUACCUUUGGAUCUGAGUGUUGGGGUGUUGAAGAGUCCAGAUCCACUGUCUUUUUGGAAUUACAUUGCUUAUUAGCCAUGGAUCUACCCUUAUGGUGCAUAUUUUAGUCUUAUUUCCCUCAUUCAUGUGGUUGUGCACGUAAAGUUGGAAACUUUACGUGGUAAAACAGCUUAAUGGACCUAGAUCUAUCAUUUG
rnacentral:lncRNA from 1 species